UUGCUUGGUAUCAAUCAGCUGAAUGAAUCUCAUGAAUCUCAUUCCAGCCUAAAUAACAUGACAAACACUGGCCCAUAUGGUUAAUCAAUUAUCCAAAUUUUGCCAUUCGGCUGAUACAAAUAACACGUGACCGGAAAUGACGUUUUCCCCUCAGUCCAUCUCAUUUCAUCCCAGGUAAAGCCAAAGUAUGGAUCAGUAUAUUUGUACCUCUCACGUACCAACCAAUCCCCAGGACCUGACAACUAUGACUUCAAGAUCGAAGUUUCUGAUGCUGAUGCAUCAAUUUCCAGGAAGAAGAGAUCAAACACCAUUAUCCAAGGAAACUCGAGGACUCUACAAUUCUACAACCUUUGUAAAGGAUAUAAUGAAACAAAUUGUCCUCCUUUGUAUUUUGCUGUUGUUGGGAAAAAUUCUUCA